GUUCGUUUUCUGUUGCUGCUGUAAUGGCUCCUGAGGAACUGAGGCCCUCGGUCAAACAGCCCACAAGAAACUACAUGAGUGAGCAUCAAACCCACCUCAGUGGAGCCCCAAGAUGCCUGCAGGCGUGCAAGACUAAGAAGAGGACCGGCUGAGCUGCAUCCACAUUUCUGACCUGCAGAGACUAUGAGGCCUUCCUGUGAAGGGGAGACGACCUGACUGAGCAAAAGGCGCGGCCAGGAACUCCCAAGAAACUCAGGCUGCCCCAGAAGUCUCGAGCCCCAUCCCUACCCCACGACGUGAACUCCAAGCUGCAGACAGCAGACACGCUGGAGGACUUGUCUAAACUGAAUUUACAUUCACCCUGCCCCCAG